rnacentral:lncRNA from 1 species
UGGAAUACACAGGCACAGUAUUAUACAAGAACCAUUUAAUGGAAAACCAAGUUUGCAGCAAAAGAUCACAAAAGAAAACUUGGUAUGUGAAUCUCCUCCUGUUUUAAAGAAGGUAAUCAUAGAAAAGCAAAAAUCAGGUAACUAUAUUAUAUGGAUCUUAAAAUACUAUAUGUAUUAUUGCAUAUUUUAUAUUCUAAUGUCAUUAAUUUCUUCUUUCAG